rnacentral:rRNA from 1 species
GGGGUGCAGCAGGCGCGAAAACUUUGCAAUGCGGGAAACCGUGACAAGGGAACUCUGAGUGCCCGUUAAAUCGGGCUGUCCAUCGGUUUAAAUAACCGGUGAAGAAAGGGCCGGGCAAGACCGGUGCCAGCCGCCGCGGUAAUACCGGCGGCUCGAGUGGUGGCCACUAUUACUGGGCUUAAAGCGUUCGUAGCUGGUUUGUUAAGUCUCUGGGGAAAUCUUCCGGCUUAACCGGAAGGCGUCUCAGGGAUACUGGCAGACUAGGGACCGGGAGAGGUGAGAGGUACUCCAGGGGUAGGAGUGAAAUCCUGUAAUCCUUGGGGGACCACCUGUGGCGAAGGCGUCUCACCAGAACGGCUCCGACAGUGAGGGACGAAAGCUGGGGGAGCAAACCGGAUUAGAUACCCGGGUAGUCCCAGCUGUAAACGAUGCGCGUUAGGUGUAUCGGUGACCACGAGUCACCGAGGUGCCGAAGAGAAAUCGUGAAACGUGCCGCCUGGGAAGUACGGUCGCAAGGCUGAAACUUAAAGGAAUUGGCGGGGGAGCACAAGGGCGAAUUCGCG